rnacentral:rRNA from 1 species
GACGAACGCUGGCGGCGUGCCUAACACAUGCAAGUCGAGCGAGUUGAUUCUCUUCGGAGAUGAAGCCAGCGGCGGACGGGUGAGUAACACGUGGGCAACCUGCCUCAUAGAGGGGAAUAGCCUCCCGAAAGGGAGAUUAAUACCGCAUAAGAUUGUAGCUUCGCAUGAAGUAGCAAUUAAAGGAGCAAUCCGCUAUGAGAUGGGCCCGCGGCGCAUUAGCUAGUUGGUGAGGUAACGGCUCACCAAGGCGACGAUGCGUAGCCGACCUGAGAGGGUGAUCGGCCACAUUGGGACUGAGACACGGCCCAGACUCCUACGGGAGGCAGCAGUGGGGAAUAUUGCACAAUGGGGGAAACCCUGAUGCAGCAACGCCGCGUGAGUGAUGACGGCCUUCGGGUUGUAAAGCUCUGUCUUCAGGGACGAUAAUGACGGUACCUGAGGAGGAAGCCACGGCUAACUACGUGCCAGCCGCCGCAGUAAAAC